GAGGCCUGCACAUCCUCGUCGAAAGGUUCCACUGCAGGCUGCGUCUAGGAGCCCUGGGAGACCGGGGCUCCUGCUUUU
rfam:Xanthomonas campestris pv. campestris complete genome, strain B100